rnacentral:rRNA from 2 species
GGGUUGUGAGGUUAAGCGACUAAGCGUACACGGUGGAUGCCCUGGCAGUCAGAGGCGAUGAAGGGCGUGCUAAUCUGCGAUAAGCGCCGGUAAGGUGAUAUGAACCGUUAUAACCGGCGAUACCCGAAUGGGGAAACCCAGUGUGAUUCGUCACACUAUCAUUAACUGAAUCCAUAGGUUAAUGAGGCGAACCGGGGGAACUGAAACAUCUAAGUACCCCGAGGAAAAGAAAUCAACCGAGAUUCCCCCAGUAGCGGCGAGCGAACGGGGAGGAGCCCAGAGCCUGAAUCAGCAUGUGUGUUAGUGGAAGCGUCUGGAAAGGCGCGCGAUACAGGGUGACAGCCCCGUACACAAAAGCGCAUGUGCUGUGAGCUCGAUGAGUAGGGCGGGACACGUGGUAUCCUGUCUGAAUAUGGGGGGACCAUCCUCCAAGGCUAAAUACUCCUGACUGACCGAUAGUGAACCAGUACCGUGAGGGAAAGGCGAAAAGAACCCCGGCGAGGGGAGUGAAAAAGAACCUGAAACCGUGUACGUACAAGCAGUGGGAGCACAGGUUUACCUGUGUGACUGCGUACCUUUUGUAUAAUGGGUCAGCGACUUAUAUUCUGUAGCAAGGUUAACCGUAUAGGGGAGCCGAAGGGAAACCGAGUCUUAACCGGGCGUUAAGUUGCAGGGUAUAGACCCGAAACCCGGUGAUCUAGCCAUGGGCAGGUUGAAGGUUGGGUAACACUAACUGGAGGACCGAACCGACUAAUGUUGAAAAAUUAGCGGAUGACCUGUGGCUGGGGGUGAAAGGCCAAUCAAACCGGGAGAUAGCUGGUUCUCCCCGAAAGCUAUUUAGGUAGCGCCUCGUGAAUUCAUCUCCGGGGGUAGAGCACUGUUUCGGCUAGGGGGCCAUCCCGGCUUACCAACCCGAUGCAAACUGCGAAUACCGGAGAAUGUUAUCACGGGAGACACACGGCGGGUGCUAACGUCCGUCGUGAAGAGGGAAACAACCCAGACCGCCAGCUAAGGUCCCAAAGUCAUGGUUAAGUGGGAAACGAUGUGGGAAGGCCCAGACAGCCAGGAUGUUGGCUUAGAAGCAGCCAUCAUUUAAAGAAAGCGUAAUAGCUCACUGGUCGAGUCGGCCUGCGCGGAAGAUGUAACGGGGCUAAACCAU